rnacentral:rRNA from 1 species
AGCAGCCGCGGUAAUUCCAGCUCCAAUAGCGUAUAUUAAAGUUGUUGCAGUUAAAAAGCUCGUAGUUGAAUUUCGGGAUCAAUACGUCGGUCGUGCUUCGGUACGUACUGGCGUAAUUGAUUUCUCCCUUCUGACGAACCAUGAUGUCAUUAACUUGGUGUCAUGGGAAAUCAGGACUGUUACUUUGAAAAAAUUAGAGUGUUUAAAGCAGGCUCACGCUUGAAUACAUUAGCAUGGAAUAAUGAAAUAGGACGUUCGAUCCUAUUUUGUUGGUUUUUAGGAUCAACGUAAUGAUUAAUAGGGAUAGUUGGGGGCAUUAGUAUUCAAUUGUCAGAGGUGAAAUUCUUGGAUUUAUUGAAGACUAACUACUGCGAAAGCAUUUGCCAAGGAUGUUUUCAUUAAUCAAGAACGAAAGUUAGGGGAUCGAAGACGAUCAGAUACCGUCGUAGUCUUAACUAUAAACUAUGCCGACUAGGGAUCGGAUGAUGUUAAUUUUUUAAUGACUCAUUCGGUGCCUUAC